rnacentral:rRNA from 1 species
AGUGAACGCUGGCGGUAGGCCUAACACAUGCAAGUCGAACGGCAGCACAGUAAGAGCUUGCUCUUACGGGUGGCGAGUGGCGGACGGGUGAGGAAUACAUCGGAAUCUACUUUUUCGUGGGGGAUAACGUAGGGAAACUUACGCUAAUACCGCAUACGACCUACGGGUGAAAGCAGGGGAUCUUCGGACCUUGCGCGAUUGAAUGAGCCGAUGUCGGAUUAGCUAGUUGGCGGGGUAAAGGCCCACCAAGGCGACGAUCCGUAGCUGGUCGGAGAGGAUGAUCAGCCACACUGGAACUGAGACACGGUCCAGACUCCUACGGGAGGCAGCAGUGGGGUAUAUUGGACAAUGGGCGCAAGCCUGAUCCAGCCAUACCGCGUGGGUGAAGAAGGCCUUCGGGUUGUAAAGCCCUUUUGUUGGGAAAGAAAAGCAGCAGGUUAAUACCACGCUGUUCUGACGGUACCCAAAGAAUAAGCACCGGCUAACUUCGUG